rnacentral:rRNA from 1 species
CCGCUAUUGGAAUUCGAUUAAGACAUGCGAGUCGAGAGUCGCAAGGACUCGGCGGACCGCUCAGUAACACGCGGAUAACAUGCCCUUGGGUGGGGGAUAACCUCGGGAAACUGAGAAUAAUACCCCAUAGACCUUGAAAGCUGGAAUGCUUCGAGGUCGAAAACUCCGGUGCCCAAGGAUUGGUCUGCGGCGUAUCAGGUUGUAGUGGGUGUAACGGACCCCCUAGCCUAUGACGCGUAAGGGCCUUGAGAGAGGGAGCCCUGAGAUGGACUCUGAGACAUGAGUCCAGGCCCUACGGGGCGCAGCAGUCGCGAAAACUUCACAAUGGGAGAAAUCCCGAUGAGGGAAUUCCAAGUGCCAGCACAUUGUGUUGGCUGUUCUCUGGUCUAAAAAACCGGAGAAGUAAGGGCCGGGUAAGACGGGUGCCAGCCGCCGCGGUAAUACCCGCGGCCCGAGUGGUGGUCGAUAUUAUUGAGCCUAAAACGUCCGUAGCCGGUUUUGUAAAUCCUUGGGUAAAUCGACCAGCUUAACUGUUCGAAGUCCGGGGAGACUGCAAAACUUGGGAUCGGGAGAGGUGAGAGGUACUUCUGGGGUAGGGGUAAAAUCCUGUAAUCCUAGAAGGACCACCGGUGGCGAAGGCGUCUCACUAGAACGAAUCCGACGGUGAGGGACGGAGCCCUGGGGCGCAAACGGGAUUAGAUACCCCGGUAGUCCAGGGUGUAAACGCUGCGGGCUUGGUGUUGGGGGUCCUUUGAGGGCGCCCAGUGCCGGAGAGAAGUUGUUAAGCCUGCUGCUUGGGGAGUACGUCCGCAAGGAUGAAACUUAAAGGAAUUGGCGGGGG